rnacentral:rRNA from 1 species
AUUGAACGCUGGCGGCAGGCCUAACACAUGCAAGUCGAACGAGUGGCGGACGGGUGAGUAAUGUCUGGGAAACUGCCCGAUGGAGGGGGAUAAGUACUGGAAACGGUAGCUAAUACCGCAUACCGUCGGCUGUGCCCAGAUGGGAGUAGCUAGUAGGUGGGGUAACGGCUCAACUAGGCGACGAUCCCUAGCUGGUCUGAGAGGAUGACCAUCCACACUGGAACUGAUACACGGGCCAGACUCCUACGGUAGGCAGCAGUGGGGAAGAUUGCAAAAUGGGCGCAAGCCUGAUGCAGCCAUGCCGCGUGUAUGAAGAAGGCCUUCGGAUUGUAAAGUACUUUUAGCGAGGAGGCGUUACUCGCAGAAGAAGCACCGGCUAACUCCGUGCCAGCAGCCGCGGUAAUAC